rnacentral:rRNA from 1 species
UUGAACGCUGGCGGCAUGCCUUACACAUGCAAGUCGAACGGUAACGCGGGGCAACCUGGCGACGAGUGGCGAACGGGUGAGUAAUACAUCGGAACGUGCCCAGUAGUGGGGGAUAGCCCGGCGAAAGCCGGAUUAAUACCGCAUACGACCUAAGGGUGAAAGCAGGGGACCGCAAGGCCUUGCGCUAUUGGAGCGGCCGAUGUCAGAUUAGCUAGUUGGUGGGGUAAAAGCUCACCAAGGCGACGAUCUGUAGCGGGUCUGAGAGGAUGAUCCGCCACACUGGAACUGAGACACGGUCCAGACUCCUACGGGAGGCAGCAGUGGGGAAUUUUGGACAAUGGGGGCAACCCUGAUCCAGCCAUUCCGCGUGAGUGAAGAAGGCCUUCGGGUUGUAAAGCUCUUUCAGCAGGAGCGAAACGGUCGUUUUUAAUACAGACGGCUAAUGACGGUACCUGCAGAAGAAGCACCGGCUAACUACGU